AUGGCCAUUUCUCCAGAAGUCGCACUGUGAUAUGGAUUUCCCUUAGGUACCUUAGCAGCAUCCUCAGGAUUGCUCUUCACAGGCGCAUAAGCAAGCCACGUAUUCAUCACCGUAAAUCCAACCCUUGCNNNGUUUUUGGAUAAUCUUGCAUCAUACAUUCGAGUCGAGUUGAAGAUUGAAAUGAAGUUUUGCUGGCAUCUUUGUAUUUUGGGUUAACAAACUCCUUAAUACAACCUCCUGUUUUCUUGAGCUCCUCAAUAUAAGGACCAAGUUCCAAAAUCAAUUGGUUUAUAUUUCCUGGGAAAGGAGAAUAGCCUGUCUCAGAGUUAACAUCUCCAUCAGGAUGACCAGUCGCUCUAAGCAGAGGAUCAAGCUGAUUGUAUUCAACGUUAAUCACCAUUGACCGACCAUCAGCAUGAGUAAGCCUGGUAAUUCCUCCAAUUGC
rnacentral:misc_RNA from 1 species